rnacentral:ncRNA from 1 species
AUUCCUAGUCCACCAUCGAACCCUAACUUGCCCUGUCUGUUGAAUUUCUCAGUGAAAUUCUUUUUGUUAGGGCCCCAAACCCCAACUCGCCUUGUCUGUUGAAUUUCUAAGUGGAAUUUACUGUAUUGAUGACAUAACAUAGCUUUAAAAGUUGAUAUAAGUGCAUUUUUAAUUCAGUUAUAAACUACUUAUAAGUUAAGAAAGUCUAGGACAUUGACU